rnacentral:rRNA from 1 species
AACGCUAGCUACAGGCUUAACACAUGCAAGUCGAGGGGCAGCAUUGGAGUAGCAAUACUUCAGAUGGCGACCGGCGCACGGGUGAGUAACACGUAUCCAACCUGCCGCUUACUCGGGGAUAGCCUUUCGAAAGAAAGAUUAAUACCCGAUGGUAUAAAGAGUUCGCAUGUUCUCUUUAUUAAAGAAUUUCGGUAAGCGAUGGGGAUGCGUUCCAUUAGAUAGUUGGCGGGGUAACGGCCCACCAAGUCUACGAUGGAUAGGGGUUCUGAGAGGAAGGUCCCCCACAUUGGAACUGAGACACGGUCCAAACUCCUACGGGAGGCAGCAGUGAGGAAUAUUGGUCAAUGGACGAGAGUCUGAACCAGCCAAGUAGCGUGAAGGAUGACUGCCCUAUGGGUUGUAAACUUCUUUUAUAAGGGAAUAAAGUGAGGGACGUGUCCCUUUUUGUAUGUACCUUAUGAAUAAGGAUCGGCUAACUCCGUGCCAGCAGCCGCGGUAAUACGGAGGAUUCAAGCGUUAUCCGGAUUUAUUGGGUUUAAAGGGAGCGUAGGUUGACAUAUAAGUCAGCUGUGAAAGUUUACGGCUCAACCGUGAAAUUGCAGUUGAUACUGUAUGUCUUGAGUGUACAAGAGGUGGGCGGAAUUCGUGGUGUAGCGGUGAAAUGCUUAGAUAUCACGAAGAACUCCGAUUG